AAUGAACGUUGGCGGCGUGGAUUAGGCAUGCAAGUCGCGCGAGAAGUGUAGCAAUACAUGGAAAGCGGCGAAAGGGAGAGUAAUACAUAGGUACGUGCCCUUGGGACUGGGAUAGCGGCGGGAAACUGCCGGUAAUACCAGAUGACGUUUCCGAACCAAAGGUGUGAAUCCGCCUGAGGAGCCGCCUAUGUCCUAUUAGCUUGUUGGCGAGGUAACGGCUCACCAAGGCAAAGAUGGGUAUGGGGUGUGAGAGCAUGCCCCCCCUCACUGGGACUGAGACACUGCCCAGACACCUACGGGUGGCUGCAGUCGAGAAUCUUCGGCAAUGGACGCAAGUCUGACCGAGCGACGCCGCGUGCGGGAUGAAGGCCUUCGGGUUGUAAACCGCUGUCGUAGGGGAGGAAAUUCUGGUGGGUACUCCCAUCAGAUUGACUGAUCCUAGGAGGAAGGACCGGCUAAUCUCGUGCCAGCAGCCGCCGUAAGAC
rnacentral:rRNA from 1 species